rnacentral:rRNA from 1 species
GAUGAACGCUGGCGGCGUGCCUAAUACAUGCAAGUCGAGCGAACGGACGAGAAGCUUGCUUCUCUGAUGUUAGCGGCGGACGGGUGAGUAACACGUGGAUAACCUACCUAUAAGACUGGGAUAACUUCGGGAAACCGUAGCUAAUACCGGAUAAUAUUUUGAACCGCAUGGUUCAAAAGUGAAAGACGGUCUUGCUGUCACUUAUAGAUGGAUCCGCGCUGCAUUAGCUAGUUGGUAAGGUAACGGCUUACCAAGGCAACGAUGCAUAGCCGACCUGAGAGGGUGAUCGGCCACACUGGAACUGAGACACGGUCCAGACUCCUACGGGAGGCAGCAGUAGCGAAUCUUCCGCAAUGGGCGAAAGCCUGACGGAGCAACGCCGCGUGAGUGAUGAAGGUCUUCGGAUCGUAAAACUCUGUUAUUAGGGAAGAACAUAUGUGUAAGUAACUGUGCACAUCUUGACGGUACCUAAUCAGAAAGCCACGGCUAACUACGUG